CAGCAGCCACGGGAAUACGAAGGGUGCAAGCGUUAAUCGGAAUUACUGGUCGUAAAGCGCGCGUAGGUGGUUUGGUAAGAUGGAUGUGAAAUCCCCGGGCUCAACCUGGGAACUGCAUCCAUAACUGCCUGACUAGAGUACGGUAGAGGGUGGUGGAAUUUCCUGUGUAGCGGUGAAAUGCGUAGAUAUAGGAAGGAACACCAGUGGCGAAGGCGACCACCUGGACUGAUACUGACACUGAGGUGCGAAAGCGUGGGGAGCAAACAGGAUUAGAUACCCCCGUAGUCCCUGUCUCUUAUAU
rnacentral:rRNA from 1 species